rnacentral:rRNA from 1 species
GUGGUCUGCGUGUGUGGUGCUGGGUUGAGCGGUGGGUGGCAAGCGUUGUUGGUGUUUAGUGGGCGUAAAGCGGGCGAGGGGGGGUCCGGAAGGCUGAUGUGAAAGGCCAGGGCUCAAGCGUGGAAGGUCAUUGGAAACGGGGGAAGUUGAGUGCAGAGGAGGAGGGUGGAAUUCCAUGUGUAGCGGUGAAAUGCGUAGAUAUAGGGAGGAGCACCAGUGGCGAAGGCGACUCUCUGGUCUGUAACUGACGCUGAGGCUCGAAAGCGUGGGGAGCAAACAGGAUUAGAUACCCCUGUAGUC